rnacentral:rRNA from 1 species
AAGAAAUUCUGUCUGAAAAUGGGGAAACCACUCUCCAAGGCUAAGUACUACUGAGUGACCGAUAGUGAACAAGUACCGUGAGGGAAAGGUGAAAAGCACCCCUAUAAGGGGAGUGAAAAAGAACCUGAAACCGGAUGCCUACAAGCAGUCGGAGGAGCAUUAGGCUCUGACGGCGUACCUUUUGUAUAAUGGGUCAGCGACUUAAUUUAUGUAGCAAGCUUAAGCCGAUAGGUGUAGGCGCAGCGAAAGCGAGUGUUAAUAGCGCGUUAAGUUACAUGGAUUAGACCCGAAACCGAGUGAUCUAGCCAUGAUCAGGUUGAAGGUUGGGUAACACCAACUGGAGGACCGAACCCACUCCCGUUGAAAAGGUAGGGGAUGAAUUGUGGCUAGGGGUGAAAGGCCAAUCAAACUCGGAAAUAGCUGGUUCUCCGCGAAAACUAUUUAGGUAGUGCGGCAAGCGGACACGUUGAGGGGUAGAGCACUGAAAGAGCUAAGGGGGAGCGAUCCUUACUAAACUUUAUCAAACUCCGAAUACUCAACAGUGAUACUUGCCAGACAGACUGUAGGUGCUAAGGUCUACGGUCGAGAGGGAAAGAGCCCAGACCGCCAAUUAAGGUCCCAAAAUUAUGGCUAAGUGGUAAAGGAAGUGAAUUGUCCAAAACAGUCAGGAGGUUGGCUUAGAAGCAGCCAUCCUUUAAAGAAAGCGUAAUAGCUCACUGAUCUAAACAAGACGAUUUGCGCCGAAGAUGUAACGGGGCUAAAGCCAUAUACCGAAGUUGCGGAAUUGCACGUAAGUGCAAUUGGUAGCGGAGCGUUCUGUAAGCCUGCGAAGGUGUUCCGUAAGGAAUGCUGGAGGUAUCAGAAGUGAGAAUGCUGACAUGAGUAGCGAAAAGAAGUGUGAGAGACACUUCCGCUGAAAGUCCAAGGUUUCCUGCGUAAAGCUAAUCUGCGCAGGGUUAGUCGGCCCCUAAGGCGAGGCAGAGAUGCGUAGUCGAUGGGAAUCAGGUUAAUAUUCCUGAACCAACUAGGAAGUGACGGAUUCAGUAAAUUGUAUGUCCUUAUUGGAUUGGAUGUGCAGUGAAUGAGUCCCGGGAAAUAGCCCUAGUAUAGACCGUACCCGAAACCGACACAGGUGGACAGGUAGAGAAUACCAAAGCGCUUGAGAGAACUAUGUUGAAGGAACUAGGCAAAAUACUUGCGUAACUUCGGGAUAAGCAAGCCCCAUUUCUGGGCAACCAGAGGUGGGGGGCACAUACUAGGGGGUAGCGACUGUUUACUAAAAACACAGGGCUCUGCUAAAUUGAAAGAUGAAGUAUAGGGUCUGACGCCUGCCCGGUGCUGGAAGGUUAAGGAGAGAUGUGCAAGCAUUGAACUGAAGCCCCAGUAAACGGCGGCCGUAACUAUAACGGUCCUAAGGUAGCGAAAUUCCUUGUCGGGUAAGUUCCGACCU